rnacentral:rRNA from 1 species
GCCCUAAACCUCAGUAGUUAGAUAACAAAACUACUCGCCAGAAUACUACGAGCAACAGCUUAAAACUCAAAGGACUUGACGGUGCUUUACAUCCCCCUAGAGGAGCCUGUUCCGUAAUCGAUAAACCCCGAUCCACCCCACCCUCUCUUGCUCAGCCUAUAUACCGCCAUCUUCAGCAAACCCUAAUGAAGGCUACAAAGUGAGCGCAAACGCCACUGCCGCGAAUACGUUAGGUCAAGGUGUAGCCCAUGAGACGGUAAAAAAUGGGCUACAUUUUCUAUUUCAGAAAACCCCACGAAAACCCUUAUGAAACUUAAGGGUCCAAGGAGGAUUUAGCAGUAAAUUAAGAAUAGAGUGCUUAAUUGAACCAGGCCAUAAAGCGCGCACACACCGCCCGUCACUCCUCUCAAAUAUAUUUAAGGAAUACCCCUAACUAAACGCCCUAAUAUUUAUAUAGAGAGGAUAAGUCGUAACAUGGUAAGCGUACUGGAAGGUGCGCUUGGAUAAAU